UUCUCAUCUUUUCUUUUUUCCUUUUUUAUUUUCUUUUUCUUUGGUAAUUUCCCUUGACUGUUUUUUUUUGAUAAUCUUGUAAUUUGAGAAUUUAGAAUAGCUAGAAGCCUUUUAAAAGUCAAAAUCAGAAAAGGCUUUGGAGGGAAAGGAAGUGUAAGUAAUAGAAGCAUUGAUUAGACAUUGUGUUUUUGUCAUUCUCUGUUUGCACUGUCUUGAUAAGUAGAACUUUUGAAAAGAUCCCCUGACACAUAAUUGCUGACAAUGCAUCCUUAUAUAUAUAUUUUUAUUUUUGUUAUCAAGUACCUUAUAAUUUUGUUAUAUGCUUGCACAGGUGAUUAUCCUACAAAUGUUAAUAAGCUCUGUUUUAUAGUUUUGUUAUUUGAAUCACCAUUCCCAUUUUCUGUGAAAGUGAUUAAUGCUUAUCCAUUACAUUUAUUUCUCAAAUUGGAUUGGCGAUGUCUCCAUUGAGCAACAACUCCUUGUUUCUGGAAUAUAGUUUUGCCGCACAGGUAUGGAAGCUCACUGCUUGUGAUCCCUGUGAGAUAGCAAGAAAUUCAGCUCAUCAAUCUGGAUUUUCCCAUGCAGCAAAGGAGAUUGUCAAUAUUUCUCUUUUAUGCGCAAUUUAAGUCUGGAAUUCAUCUGCUGACCCAUUCAUAUAUGCUUGUUCAAGACAUACGCAUGUGGCUGGGGCACUGAAAGUACCACUUCACAUAUUCUUUACUAUGCCUUGAACGUAAGUCUUAUUGUUUGAGUAGAAAUCAAAUACUCUUAAAAUUAUCAGAGUCACCAC